UACGUAGGGCGCAAACGUUGUCCGGAAUUAUUGGGCGUAAAGAGCUCGUAGGCGGUUUGUCGCGUCUGCUGUGAAAACUCGAGGCUCAACCUCGGGCUUGCAGUGGGUACGGGCAGACUAGAGUGGCGGUAGGGGAGAAUGGAAUUCCUGGUGUAGCGGUGAAAUGCGCAGAUAUCAGGAGGAACACCGGGUGGCGAAGGC
rnacentral:rRNA from 1 species